CCGCCCCAGGCUCACACCCUUGGCCAGGCCCCAGAGAGUCUGUAUCUAGGAAGAACCUCGUGGCUCUAGGGAAACACACAGAAAGUUCGGCACUUGCAAAUGUCAAGGGCAUAAGUCCAUGCACGGAGGAGGUUAUCCUGAAGACUGGUGCGUGGAUGGGCAGGAGAUAGAGCUGAGCUUUAUUCACGAUGGCCAAGCCAUGGAAGCAGACUCAGUGUUCGUCAACAGAAAAACGGAUAAAGAAAAUGUGCUGUGGCACGUGGGAUGCCACCUCAGCGUGGCCCGACAAG